rnacentral:rRNA from 1 species
GACGAACGCUGGCGGCGUGCUUAACACAUGCAAGUCGAGCGGUAAGGCCCUUUCGGGGGUACACGAGCGGCGAACGGGUGAGUAACACGUGGGUGACCUGCCCUCAGCUCUGGGAUAAGCCUGGGAAACCGGGUCUAAUACCGGAUAUGACUCCAUGACGCAUGUUGUGGGGUGGAAAGCCUUGUGCGGCUGAGGAUGGGCCCGCGGCCUAUCAGCUUGUUGGUGGGGUGAUGGCCUACCAAGGCGACGACGGGUAGCCGGCCUGAGAGGGCGACCGGCCACACUGGGACUGAAACACGGCCCAGACUCCUACGGGAGGCAGCAGUGGGGAAUCUUGCGCAAUGGGCGAAAGCCUGACGCAGCGACGCCGCGUGAGGGAUGACGGCCU